rnacentral:rRNA from 1 species
UACGUAGGUGGCAAGCGUUGUCCGGAAUUAUUGGGCGUAAAGCGCGCGCAGGCGGGAUAUCAAGUCUGUCUUAAAAGUGCGAGGCUCAACCUCGUGAGGGGACAGAAACUGGUAUUCUUGAGUGUCGGAGAGGAAAGUGGAAUUCCAAGUGUAGCGGUGAAAUGCGUAGAGAUUUGGAAGAACACCAGUGGCGAAGGCGACUUUCUGGACGAUGUCUGACGCUGAGGCGCGAAAGCUAGGGGAGCGAACG